UAAAGAAUUUAAGGUUCUGUAAGGUUAGUGUAAUUUAAGGUUCUAUCAGGUUCUGUAAUUUUUGGUUACUGCCACAACUGAAUAAGCAUUUUUGGUGCUGAGUGUACCGUUUUCAACACCUUCAGGUAAACAUCUUCUGCCUGCUCCGAUGUUAUUGUAGAUAUUUCUCUGGAGCAUGUUCCUCAGCCUGUCUGAGUGCCAGAGAAGCCAUCUCCAUCUGCUGAACACUCCUCAGGUGAACUACUGACCUCCACCCAUCCAACACCUGCAACACCCGUGAGCUGCUCAGCCGUGGCCACCGGGCUGCUGAGGGACACCGAGCGAGAUGCACCCACAACAGCUUGGAGGAAACUGGGUGGCUUUUUUAUAGACUUUAAAAUGAAAUAGAAGUAAAAACUCCUUCUGACAGAGGUAAAGCUGGAAACAAUUCCAAGCUUUUCCUGAGCAGAAAGGCUGCUCCUGACUGUUACUCCCAGAAACGAGCACUGUCAUCCGCUGAACACUUCAACCACACUAAAGGAGACACCUGGACUCAGAAGAUAGAAACUCUGCUCAGUUUUCUCAAGUUGGAUAUUCUGGUAUUUCUGGUGCAUCCUGCAUAUGUAGAAGCAGCAAAAUUUGUCUUGGGGAACAGAGGCAUCAGCUCAGAGAGGGGACAGAUGGUGAACGUUACGGAGACCAAACUACGGCUCAAUCUUCCCAGAGAGAGCAGGUCCUGCAAGAACAAGGGAAGAUAUCAGUCAAAUUGUCACAAAUAUGCCCCAAACUGUUGUGAAAGAGCAACAGAUUUCCUAAAUUAAUCUGUAAGGUCUGCUGAACUGCAGACUAUCAUAGAAAUACUUGUUCCUCAUGUACAGACCAGGAACCUGGAGUCAAGUAUUCCUCCUGUUGGACAAAUGCCUCUGGAAUUCCACAAAUUGCUUGGCACAUCUGACAGAGCAGGCAGAAGAAUGCCAGCCUUCGUUUCCUGUAGUCUGCCUGCAUGGAGCAUGGCUUUGGAGGCACUGCUCCCUCCUUCAGGUCAAGUAGUGGCAGGGGAGAAGAGGCAUCUACCUGAAUAUCUGAAAAAAUGAAACUAGAAGGAAAGAUUUGAAAACAAAUCUUGGCAUAAACUGGAAUCUUGGAAUAAGUGUUGGAAUAAGCUUAUUUUUGGACUUCAAAGCGUUUGUUGUAGAAGCAUUGCCUAGAUUUUUAUCAAGGGUUUGUCUUAGCUUGCAACUCAUCUAGCUUUCUUUUGCAUCUUGAAGGUGUCUUUACAAAAUAGUGGUAAAACAAAAGAAAAACCGAUGUGGAAGAGUUUAAUGGAUCUUGAAAGAAAAUAAAGUUGUGGCCUUCAGUUGUUCAAGAGUCUACUGGAGAAUCCUGUCCUUUCACAUGGGAAUUUUGCCAGCGGCAUUAACUGGGACAAGAUUAUUGACUGUCUGAGGCAAAGCUUAGAAGGUCAUUGUUGUGUUUAACUGUUAAUUCUCUAGCAUUAUCCCAGUAACUUGUUGACGCUUCCAAGAGUUGCUUGAUGUCUAUAUAUAUACACACAGCCACACGUGUGCACUCGCCUGCCUUUGGGAAUUCCCUUGCCCUUGCUAACGUGAGUGCAAAGAUUCACUGGGCUUUUUAUUCGUAAAUAGAAAAUGUUUGGACUUAUGUACUGAUAAAGAGAGCUAUUACAAACACAAUGUGAAGCUGCCUUUGUGUCUAUGUUCAUCUAGAAGCUCAGCAGCUCACCCUUGCUUACCUCACCGACGGCCAUGGCUCAAGAUGCUGAAGAUGCAGAAACAGCAAAGGGAAAAAGUAACGUUGCUCAUUGCUAAUCCCCUGCUGGAGGGGUGGCUCACCCGUUUGGAGGGCUGUGCACACCCCGUGACAUCCCUCACUCGGCAGGAUCUCUGUGAUCUGAGAGUUGGUACCUGCCACCCGAUGUGUCUCCUGCUGCCAGACAGGUCUAUGAAGUAAUGGAGCCUGGCUGUCUGCAGUCAGCACUGCUGUGCUACAUCCAAAGCAAGCUUGCCAGUCAGCAAAUGCUGCAUUAAUCUUUCAGGGAGUGUUUGUUUUGCUUGUUUUGCUAGGCUGAGUUUCAAGCAACUGAUAAUGUGCUCAUGAGCAGUUCUCCUGUUGCAGCCCAUUUUUCAAAAGGAAGUGUGAAGGCCAAAGCUCCCAAGGUUGGGUAGAACAUGGGUUGGGAGGGUUAUAUAUGGUCUUGCUUCACUGUGUGAGCUCACAGUGCUUUUGAGUGCAUGUUAAUACACCUACAGGUACAUUUGGGAGAGUGGAGUUGUGGCUCUUUGAAGUCUGAUGAGUGUUUUAAAAAUACACCUUGGACUUUGUUCCUCUCUGUUAGUGCUAAUUCUGCUUGUGGAGUUAUCUCACUGCAAAUGAGAUGUACUUUUGUUUGCUGAGCAAUAGCCAAAGCUUCUGCCUGCUGAAGUAGAAACUCUGAAGGCUUCUGAGGGUUAGAUAAGACAAACAUUUUACAGGUCACAGGGUUUUAAGUGUUGAAAUGCCUGGAAUUUCAGGAGGAAAAUGACAGUGAGCCUGGUUUGUUCCCACUUUUCCCUGCUGUGUUGCUGCUCUGUCCAGCUGCAGCACUGAAGUCACAGCUCUCACUUAAAGGCCCAUCCCUCCAAGUCUUUUUGCAUUUAGCUCCUCUAAGCAAAAAGGAAUUUAGACAUACAAAUAAAUUUCAGAAUGUGGAAAACUCAAGUCUGGAGACUCUUGUAUGUGCAGAACCUUUUCUGGACUUUUUUUGGUGUUUUUUAUUUUAAGAUACUCCAUGCUCUUUGAUGACUUGAAAAAUAAAAAUCUUGCAACAUUUUCACAAGUGAAGAGAAUUUUAGCUCCCAGAGUGAGAACAGAAGGAUGCACUGUGAUCUUGAGGUCUUUUAGCCUGCUUACGUAGUCUGAAAAAAUGUGGCUGGGCAGUGAGUCUGUUGCAAAAUGACAAUUUUAAUGGUGCUGGGAUAAGACAAAUCCUGUGGAUAUUUCACGUGCACAUACUUUUCCUACAAACUUUUCUGAGAGUUAAUGUUUUACAUAAAAUCUAUUCUGCAAAGAGUACUCCAAAGGUAGUGCUACACACAACAGUACUUUUAAAAGUGUAUUUAUAUAUAUAUAUAUACAUAUACAUAAAUAUAUAUAUAUACCCUCUGCUUAAAUUUUAAGUGGGAAUAUACUUCAAGAAGGUUUUGAGUGGAGAAAAAAGGGUAAUAAUUAGGUGCUUUUCUCUUUUCUGUCUUUUAGUUUGUGAAAAUUUUCCUCACUUUUACUGUUACCCUAAUCUCGCAUCUUUUCCUGCUCACAAUAAGGGGGAUUAUAAGGCAGAAAUGAAGAAAAAGAAAAAAAAAGAAAAAAAAAGAAAAAUAAAAAAAGAAGUGUGUUCUUAAAUACAACAGUUGGAGAGCUGUUUGUACACAUUUCCAUGUUUCUUUCUGGUUUUGGAUUAAGUUUCUACUCCAAAGUUCCAAUUUCCUGGUUAACAUAUUGUUCUGGAAGGACCCCGGGCUCAUGCAGACCUGGCACACGGCAGGCAGGCUGGCUCAGUGGGGAAAGCUGUUGCUUUUCCUUGCCUGCUGCAGACACAAGCACUGUGAGAAUUCCCUUGGUACAGGAAAGUGUUGUGCUAUUACACUCAACAUUUAUUGGAUACUUCCUCCAGGCUCAAAUAAACAUUAUAAAACCUCCCUUCCCCAAAUGAAUCGCUUAAAGUGGAUACAAGAGAGGAUGUGGCAUCUUGGAUUUUGCUGUGUGGCUCUUUGUGAACAGCAGUGCAAAUGCUUAUUAUCAGCCUUCAGUUUUUAUAUGCAUGGGUGUGAUAGGGCUGGGCUGUGGAGUAGUGCCCUGCUGUGUAGGAUACACAGGACAAGAGGGAAUGGCCUCCAGUUGUGCCAGGGGAGAGUUUAGAUUGGAUAUUAGCAAACAUUUCUUCACUAAAAAAGUGUUUAAACAUUGGAAAAGUCUCCCAGGGAAGUAGUGGGGUCACCAUCCCAAGAGUGGAAGUGCUCAAAAAGCGAGAGACAAUUCACAGCAAUCCAUGGUAUGGUUUAGUUGACAAGGUGGUACUUGGCUGACAGCUGGACUUGAUGGCCUUGGAGUCUUUUCCAGCCUUGGUGAUUCUGUGAUUCCCUGAUCCUCUACAGACUGCUGCCCAUGGUUACCUGAAUGCUGUCCAGCUCCUGCUGGGGGAAGGUCCCCAGCACGGAUGGAUCAUAGUGUGAGGUGCUGUGUCGGAUCUGGGCUCAACUAUGGGAUGCAAUGCAACACCUAUAGAAUAUAGGCACAUUUUAUCUUGUUAAACCUACCCCAAUCUUCUGCCUAGUCAAGGUUAGACUUUUUUGCAUGUGUCUCAGAAAAAUUAAUAGAAAUUCUUCUAAAAGAAACAUAAGAUUUUCACAUCUUUUGGAACUUCUGCAGUGAGAGCCUGCAGAGUUCAGGCUUGUUACUAAGAACAGCCCAAUGUAUAUUUGAGGGUGAAAAAAUAAUCAUGUCACUUCUUUGGAACGUGAUCUAAAGUUCACUGAAGUGAAUGAAAAGGCUCCUGUUGGUUUUAAGUGGCUCCAGCCUUUACACGGGGAACAGAAGACGUGUGUCUCAUCUGCUUAAAUUUGAAAAUGUUAUUGGUAAUUUGUGUUGAUAGAAAGAGCACAUGGUAACUUUCUUUCUGCAUUUAUAUAACAGGAGGCAAAAGCCUCGAGUUUGAAAACAUUGAGGAUGCAGUUGCCUAUUUCCAGCACGAUGAGAGAGACACAGCCAAGGAUUGGGCUGUUUUAAGAAUAUUUGAUGGAAGGCAAAGCAUUAGGCACUGGUUUCCCCACAGGCAAUGGUUUCCUAUUGUCAUCCCACCAACAGAUGACAACCUGAUGAGCAAUGUCACCUUUAAGCUUGCAAAAGGGAAGAUAGUUCUUCCUGAAACAACUGAUGUUUUAUUUGUGGGUUUAAUUCAAGUGAUUAUUAUAUUCUCACUGAAACAACCAAGUCAACAAGUGCUGGAGGUUAUCAAGGAAUCCACUGCAGAUGGGCCAAGUAGGUGCUGCAGCCUGGGGAGGUUCCCUGGUACUGCUCUGUGAUGGAGUGAGUAGUGCUGGGCUCAUGGCUGGACUUGAUCUUCAAGACCUUUUCCAGCUGCAAUGCUCCUGUGAUUCAAUGACAAAUGUUUGGGAGUGCAGGACUGAGCUGUCCACACAGCUGAAAAUGCCUAACUGAUGUUGGUCCCCCUGUGUGAUGGAUGGGGUUAUCUGGGGCUUGAAUUAAUACAGGAGUAAAAGGAGAAAAGAAAAACAGCAGGCGAGUGCCUAAAAGGAUCUGUGCUGUAUUUUAAAGAUAUCCCUGUGUCAAUCUGCUUGCAAAGCAAUCUCUUCUACAGCCUUGUCUACCAUCAUUUUGAAGAAGAGGUCUUUUCAUGACUCACUUAAAUUCAUUUUAUCUGACAGUCAAGAACUGCCUAAUCUUUGAUGCUCAUGUAAUUAUGGCUUUUUUUUUAUAUAAUGACAUAGCACUCAAAAUAUUUGAAAGCCAUGCAGAGAAAUAUUGCAUAAUAGGAAAUUGUGCAGGAAUGAGAACGUUGGAGCUAUUCAUCUGUAAUAACAAAAUGCUUCUGUUUUACACAAAUGACUUGAUUAAAAUAAAGACUUGCUCUGGAUUUUCAUCAGUAUUAAAAGAGGUGAAAGCAAAAGCAAAAAGACCAAUUGAAUUUUUAUUUUUCUUCUUUUUUUUUUUUUUUUUUUUUUAGGUAUGCUGUUUCAAUUCAUUCCUUGCAACACUUUAACAAAUAUAGAAAAUGAACAGAAAUGUCAGGACACUGGAAAAAAACAAUGCUUGAAAGAGAAUUUUUAUGAACUGAUGAGCUGAGAGCUGAGCUGGUACCAGUAGAGUGGGAUCAGUUUGGAUUUCCACAUUUUUCAGCCAUCUUUUAGACUGUUCCCUUGUGUUACAUGAGCCAAAGCGAGCCUGGAACUACAUGCAACUCGUUGUCAAAGAAACUUGCACCAUCACAAGGCGUCAGCUCUGCUCUCCAGAGACCAAAUCUCCAGACAAUCAACUCGUGUGUGCUGUUAAUGCUUUGUUUCUCUCACUUCUCCCAUGUAUAUGAAACUGUCAAGCUGAAUUACACUUUAUAAGGUGAUAGGGAAAAGAUCUAACAUUUCUUUUUCCCUUUUACAAAUUUUUACAGUGUGUGGAAGCUAAUGUUUGCAGCCUAAAAGCCAACCAAACAAAACAAAUCCUGUUGCUUCAAACCUGACAUCUUUCAGGUAAACAAGAAAAGCUUUUGACAUAAUUUGCAAGUAUUAUUACUAUAAUUUUUUUAAAGCUCUGCUUUCAUAGAAAGGUCCUGGGAGAGGCAUGAGAACAAAAUAUGCUUAUUGGAAUCUAAAUUUUUAAGUUAAAAUACAACAAAUAAGCACAAAAGUAGAAAAAAGGCAGAAGCCUAGCAUCACCUUCUCAAUCCUAUUUCUGACUGUUGAAGACAGUGCAGCCUCACCGCAUAGAACAAUAUUCCAAAUCAGUGCACAGAUUGGAGAAUUCCUCCAUGAUUCUUGCAAAAAAAGGACCAAAAUCAGUGAAUUUCUUAGUGUUUCACUGAAAUCUGUCCAAUGAGGACUCCAGUGCUUUCCAGCAAUGUGAGUCACUGUCUUUUUUGAUAAUGGACAAGCCUUGUAUUUCAAAGACCGGCACAAGCUCCUGGGUUCCCCAUGGCAAACAGCAGGAAUGGUUCUCACUCCUGUUACUCUGCAGAGUAAGAUCUUGGCAGUUUCUGUGCCAAACCAGUCAAACCCCAUCUCUGAUUUCACCCAAUAAAAAAUGAAAAUGGAGAGCUGUGCCCACUGCUGGUGUUUCUGUUCCUUGCCAGCACUUUGACACAUCUGGCAGGAAAGUUCACUCAAUUAAGUGUUUUCUACCUCUCUAUCUUUUCAUGGCAUUGCUCGAAAUAUCCAGGUUUGGCAAUUCCUUUGCUGAAUAAUAGGCCCUGAAGAUUCUUCCACAUAUUUAUUGCCUGACAUAGUCCUAUAGUUUUUGAAUGUAUUUGUAUUAUACCAUUGUGUAAGCAAGCUCCUGCUAAAGUCAGAGCAUAAAGCUUAUUCAAGGUGCCUGCAUUCCUUGAAAGGAUCCAGGCAAGCAUUUUCUCCACAAAUCCAAAUUAUACAUCAAAUUUAUUCCAUCUGGGAUUUGUAUGUGUGCAUGUAUUCUUUGUUAAGUGUUCUAGCAAAUACUAAAAUACCAGCUAGGUUAAGGGGAUGAGCAAAAUUCCUGUCAGUGUUAAAUGAAUAUUUGUGGAGGGUGCAUUUUGAGUGUGCUGUGUAAAGUUUAUAAUGGUCAAGGCUAUAUUGUUCAGCUAACUGGUUAAACUCUGCCCUGAGACCAAUCUACCCAGAAUAGUGGGAAAGCAGAAAAGCAAGAGUUACUUGUAGUGAAGAAAAUACAACCAUAGGAAAGGAUUAUUUGAAAAAUUAAAACAAGCAGUUGAAGUCUGGGAGUCAUUCAAGAGGCUUCACUGUUUCCAACAGCAAAUUGUCUAUGAAGAGAACUAAAACAACCUAUUCUUUUGUUUUCCAAGCACCUUCAGUAACUUGUAAGAUUUGUGUCAGACUCCAAGUAGAAAUUUAUCACCAAUUAUAUUCGAAAGAAUAACAAUAAAAGCUUGGUGAAAGGAAAACAAUACUGAAGCUUUGUCAGUCAGCUCAGUAGUUUUAAUUUCUAUGUUUUUUUCGGAAGGAUAUUUUUAAAACUCUGAACCCAUUUUCUCUUCUGUAGAAAUACUGCAUCAUCUUGUUCUUGUUUUUCUCAAAAUCACAUUUUAGCUGUGUGCCUCUAGCUAUUAACCCUGUGGAUUUCUUUCAGAUAGAAGAUUGAUUCCAGAAAUCCACAAGCCUCAAAAGCCACCACAGUGGGGUAAUACCUCACUUAUCCCCUAUUUCUGAUGGCACAGAGGAAAGCAUCUCUGUCCUCGACUACUGAGAAGGCACAGCAGCUUCACUUCUAACUCAACAGUCUUAGAUAGACAGGUACCAUUGUUUUUCUUGUAUUUUUUGUCCGUCUCUCCUGUCAAGUGACAAGAUUGGUCUUAUUCCAACAGCACAGGCACACCUGCUGGGCACCAGAGAAGCCCUUCCAGGCCCAAACUGAGGGCAGGUGCACUGGUGGAAUGGUUGGUCCUAGUAUGGUCCCCCCUGGAUGCAAAGGAAAAGCCUGCUUCAUGCUCCCAUGAGGAUCUGAACGUUUUUAUAGUUAAUAAACCUCCUCUUUCCCAUUUCAUUGAUCUGCAUGGACUUGCCAAGGUGGAAGGAGUUUUGUUUGCGGGCUUUUAGAAUAAAUUAGUUUGAGUUCUGCCUGUAAAAUUCUCCAUAGCUGGUUACUACCCAGAGUUUCAAAAAUGGACCCUCUGCUUUGGGAUCUGGGGGGAAGUGAAGCUUGUAUCUUAUCCAUUACUGUGUAAUGGUGUCUGAAAAUUCAUAUUUUUCUUUUAAUGGUUUAAAAAGGAGCCUUGUAGUUUUGCAAGGACAAAUUCUAACAGGGCAAAGGGAAGUGGAGGGAGCAGAGUUCAGGGAAGACUGUGGCAUAAGCUUUGCUUUCUGUUACCUGCAAGCACAUUUAAACCAGCUGCUGUAUUAAAGAGGGGGUUUCUUUAACAUAUAAGAUAUAUGCACAAAAAUAUGAUAUAUUUAUUCUGAAAAUUUAACUGAGCAUUUACAAAUAGCACCCUCUGCUUUAGAUCCUUCUCAAAGGCAGGAACGACCAGAACAUUUCUCUUGCCAUUUCAGCAGGUGACAGCCCAGUGCUAAGGGUCCAGCACAGCCAUUCCUCCUCAGACGGGUGAGCAAUUCCCAAGGUUUGACAUCCUGCCCCACCAGAAGCUUUGGCCAUGGGACACACCCUUAGCUCUGUGCUGUCUGCACACCCUGAUGUGCAUGCCAGUCAUGAAGCCACUUCUCUUGCCCACCUCCACCUGGUAGAAUAAACUGUGGGACCAGGUCCCCAUGAGAGGUGUUAACAGAACAUCAGUGAAACCAGUGGGACUGGUGGUGCUAAAUCCAGAGCCCAGGGCAAUGCUUCAAGUGAGAGAAGCCAACAUGAUCAAUUGAGAUAGUGGGCAAUGCUGGACCUCAGCUCUUCCCUUGCUCCCCUCCCCUCAUAUUUAUAGGUUUCUAAUUUCCGCUGGAUAAUGAAUAUCACUUUUCAUUAUAAUUAUGUUAAAAGGUACCAGCGUGAUGAUUCAGAAACCCUUGAAGAUAUAGUCAUAUUUUCAGCAACAGAUGGAUUUAACACUGCAGAUGGAGUGUUAAGAGUGCAGGUAAUAACAAACUCAGCAAUGUACUGUACUGAAAUAUAAUUGGAAAGUAUUAAUCAUAUAUUGGUUACUUCAGCUUCACUAAGUAGAUGUUUAAUUUUCAUCAAUCUUUUUACCAGAUUCCCGGAAAGAUUUCUGUGCAGACAGAGUGUGGCUUUAGGUGAAGUGAUUGCCCAAAUUAUUAAUGACUGAAGCCUUGAUCUUGCAGGCAUGUGCCCAUGGCUUACCCAGGCAUGCAGAAUAAAAAUCAUUUGUGUUAAUAAGGCUGUCAGAGGGGCCCCCAUUCAUAUGGCCCAAGUUUCAGCUGGUGACCAGGCAGUGGUGAAGCCCAGACCCUUCCCUUCACGGGGGCUGUUGGAAAUCUGCCAGCAGGAAUGGCUGGAUUUGUGGCAGAACACAGCAAUUUUAAAAACUCUGCUUAUAGAAGUGAACCAUCAGUCUAAGCCUUUGCAGGACUGGGAGUUAGAAUGUAGACAAAAUGGAGGGGGGGGGUGCCAUUCCUCAUUAUUUUAAGUACAGACUAUAUGGAAUUAUCUGCAUGCAGAGAAAUGUCUGCUGUUAUUCCCAUAAACCCUGUCAGUUUGCUGGGAUUUUUUUAAUGCACUUCUUCAGUGAGGUUGUAUUUGAAGCCUGGAUUAUUCAGGGGAGUUUUUGCUCUGAGCAGACCUUGCAGGACCAGAGUAAUCAGUGAUGCCUGGUUGCAUGCCAUGACUCUGAUUCUUUAAUUAAUGCUAUUUAUAACUAGGAUAUUAUUUGUAGGAUCACAAAGUGGUUCCUGCUCCAGUGUGCCACCUGGGGACUCAGGGAAUGGGGAGUGUGGUAGGGCACAAUUCCAGCUCAUGCAAAAAUCUAUUUUAUACCAGGAAUAUAAAAGAGAGUUUUGCUGACAACAGAAAUAUUAUUCUUUUAAAUAUGCUUUUUUUUGUGGAUGGUUUAUGUUCACAUUCUUUGUAUGGGUUCAGGCAUUUGGUGAGGCUGUAACUCCCCUGAUUCCCUUAUGAGGUUUUCUUUCCCUGGUGGGAGUACACAGCCAUGGUGUUCCAUGAUGACCAUGGACUGACCAGAUGGACUGUUGUAAACAACAACAUAAGCAUUCAACACCUAAGUUUUAAGUCCCACAAAAUACUUUGCUCAAAUGUUGUAGUCUUUUGCUGAAUUAUUUAGUUUUUUAACUAUCCAUGAACCCUGAAAAUGUAAUGAAAAACUGGAAUUCUAUCUGGAAAAUCGACUCUCACUUGACAAUACAGUAUCUUCAUCUUGGCUGAUAAGGAAAAAAAAGAUCGAGUAAUAAAAUUCAACAUGACUGGAAACAAAAUUGAGCAUGACUAGAAACCACAGGUGAGCAUGUUUAAUGAUGUGAAAUGAGUGUGCUGUCUACUUCCUGACAGGCUUUUGUACUCCACAGAGAUACAAACAGGUACUGAUCGAUUGACCAUGGUAAUCAAAUAAAGCUGUGAGUAUAAAUGGCUCUAAAUAUGGUAUCUCCUUAGGGCUACCAGUCGAGAUGAGUGGUUUGUAACUCAGGUCCCACACUGCUCUUGUGGGGAGGGGGGAGCUUGUUGCUAGACUGUAAAGAUGAGUAAUAUUUCUGUUUAAUGUUCAUUUCACCUUGAAAUAAACUCUUGUCUUGCCUUGCCUUGCCUU